rnacentral:lncRNA from 1 species
CUUUGGCCAGUGCAGAGGAGAGGAGCUUUGGGAAGGCUCAGCGCCUGCCCACUUGUUGUUUGCCUGUGCUUGAGUGGGGGAGCGGAGUGCAGGCAGUGCUGGUGACUGCUGUAUUCCUCUCUCAUGUGCUCUCUCUUUCCUGGCAGCAUGACGGAAGUGGAUCAUUACAUGAUGUUCAGCUAUCAUUGCCAUCCAGUCCAGAGCCUGAGGACGGCGAUCAGAUAUAUACGAAUGAAGAUUUACUAAAUGAAAUAAAACAACUUAAAGAAGAAUUAAAGAAAAAA